rnacentral:rRNA from 1 species
GGGNGGGANCUAUACUGCAAGUCGAACGCUUUUUCUUUCACCGGAGCUUGCUCCACCGAAAGAAAAAGAGUGGCGAACGGGUGAGUAACACGUGGGUAACCUGCCCAUCAGAAGGGGAUAACACUUGGAAACAGGUGCUAAUACCGUAUAACAAGUAAAACCGCAUGGUUUUACUUUGAAAGGCGCUUUUGCGUCACUGAUGGAUGGACCCGCGGUGCAUUAGCUAGUUGGUGAGGUAACGGCUCACCAAGGCAACGAUGCAUAGCCGACCUGAGAGGGUGAUCGGCCACAUUGGGACUGAGACACGGCCCAAACUCCUACGGGAGGCAGCAGUAGGGAAUCUUCGGCAAUGGACGAAAGUCUGACCGAGCAACGCCGCGUGAGUGAAGAAGGUUUUCGGAUCGUAAAACUCUGUUGUUAGAGAAGAACAAGGAUGAGAGUAAAAAGUUCAUCCCUUGACGGUAUCUAACCAGAAAGCCACGGCUAACUACGUGCCAGCAGCCGCGGUAAUACGUAGGUGGCAAGCGUUGUCCGGAUUUAUUGGGCGUAAAGCGAGCGCAGGCGGUUUCUUAAGUCUGAUGUGAAAGCCCCCGGCUCAACCGGGGAGGGUCAUUGGAAACUGGGAAACUUGAGUGCAGAAGAGGAGAGUGGAAUUCCAUGUGUAGCGGUGAAAUGCGUAGAUAUAUGGAGGAACACCAGUGGCGAAGGCGGCUCUCUGGUCUGUAACUGACGCUGAGGCUCGAAAGCGUGGGGAGCAAACAGGAUAANACCCCCCGGGNNAAAA